rnacentral:misc_RNA from 1 species
GUAUUGUUUAUUAUAUAACCAACGUUUUCAUUCAGUCAAUCUCAGAUGAUGCCAUCCAUAACCACAGGUUGGGACAAAACAGCGGUGCCAUAGUACAGAGUACUAGCAUUCAAUAAUGAUCCUUCCGCAGGUUCACCUACGGAAA